UAGCCAAGUUUGGAAGGGAUAAACGCUGAAAGCAUCUAAGCGUGAAGCCCCCCCUAAGAUGAGAUAUCCCACCGUAAGGGUAAGACCCCAUGUAGACUACAUGGUAGAUAGGCCAGAGGUGUAAGUGCAGUAAUGUAUUUAGCUGACUGGUACUAAUAGGUCGAGGGCUUGACCAAAAA
rnacentral:rRNA from 1 species